rnacentral:rRNA from 1 species
CAGUCGCCGCGGGAAUACGAAGGGGGCUAGCGUUGUUCGGAUUUACUGGGCGUAAAGGGUGCGUAGGCGGAUUGUUAAGUCAGGGGUGAAAUCCCGAGGCUCAACCUCGGAACUGCCUUUGAUACUGGCGAUCUUGAGUCCGGGAGAGGUGGGUGGAACUGCGAGUGUAGAGGUGAAAUUCGUAGAUAUUUGCAAGAACACCGGUGGCGAAGGCGGCUCACUGGCCCGGAACUGACGCUGAGGCACGAAAGCUAGGGGAGCAAAUGGGAUUAGAUACCCCCGUAGUCCCUGUCUCUUAUAA